ACGUUCUACUAAAGUUGAGUUUUUGCAGUUGUGAUGACAACAUUGAGUAAAAGAGGUAGACAGCUUCUCAUGAAGGACGGCUACACCUACUAUUCCCAUAAACCAGUAAAGGGUGGUAUGAGAUGGAGCUGCACUAGUUCGUCCAAGUGUAAGAGUCAGCUAACCGUCAUUGAUGGUACAGUGAAGAGGAGCUUAGAAGACCACAACCAUAUACGACCGUACAUCCAGUCUAACGGAACCUCACCUGAUUACCAUGGACAACGACAGGAACUGCUUACUAUAUGCGGGAUAUACAUUUUUCUUUAGGUACAGAUUGUUCAAAAAGGGCCAGAAGUGGGUCUGUACAAACUUCCCUCGAUGCAAAGCGUACCUGUGUGUGGACGACGACUUUUACAUCGUCGAGUGUAUGACUCAUCACAACCACAUACAAAAAAGUUUACAUCUAUGCCCUAACGGCAAAUACGUUAAGACCAGAAUGGCUGCUUAUAAUCUUAAUAAAAAAUUGAGUUAGC